UGCGUAGGCGGACUCAUAAGUCAGUGGUGAAAUCCUGCGGCUCAACCGUAGAACUGCCAUUGAUACUGAUAUUCUUGAAUGUAGUUGAGGUAGGCGGAAUGUGUAAUGUAGCGGUGAAAUGCUUAGAUAUUACACAGAACACCGAUUGCGAAGGCAGCUUACUAAACUAUGAUUGACGCUGAGGCACCAAAGCGUGGGGAGCGAACAGGAUUAGAUACCCUGGUAGUCC
rnacentral:rRNA from 1 species